GUCCACACUGUAAACGAUGGACACUAGAUGUUGGACCGCAAGGUUCAGCGUCGCAGCUAACGCAUUAAGUGUCCCACCUGGGAAGUACGGCCGCAAGGUUGAAACUCAAAGGAAUUGACGGGGGCCCGCACAAGCGGUGGAGUAUGUGGUUUAAUUCGAUGCAACGCGAAGAACCUUACCUGGGCUUGACAUGCUGGUUACCAACCUGAAAGGGAAGGGACCUACGCAAGUAGGAGCCAGCACAGGUGCUGCAUGGCUGUCGU
rnacentral:rRNA from 1 species